GUGAUACGAAAAUGCAUUCUAUUCACUGUGCCAUCUGUUUUUCUAUAGGUGAUCAGAGGGGAAAAGAAGCGCUAGAUAGACACCCACGCUCAUGAGCGUACCUCAUACUGUUUUAAGUGUUAUAAUUUUUAUUGUUAAUACCCACGCUUAGAUCAGUAUCUGCGCAAGUGAGACAUCU
rnacentral:snoRNA from 24 species